AGUGAACGCUGGCGGUAGGCCUAACACAUGCAAGUCGAACGGCAGCACAGUAAGAGCUUGCUCUUACGGGUGGCGAGUGGCGGACGGGUGAGGAAUACAUCGGAAUCUACUUUUUCGUGGGGGAUCACGUAGGGAAACUUACGCUAAUACCGCAUACGACCUACGGGUGAAAGCAGGGGAUCUUCGGACCUUGCGCGAUUGAAUGAGCCGAUGUCGGAUUAGCUAGUUGGCGGGGUAAAGGCCCACCAAGGCGACGAUCCGUAGCUGGUCUGAGAGGAUGAUCGGCCACACUGGAACGUAGACACGGUCCAGACUCCUACGGGAGGCAGCAGUGGGGAAUAUUGGACAAUGGGCGCAAGCCUGAUCCAGCCAUACCGCGUGGGUGAAGAAGGCCUUCGGGUUGUAAAGCCCUUUUGUUGGGAAAGAAAAGCAGCAGGUUAAUACCCCGCUGUUCUGACGGUACCCAAAGAAUAAGCACCGGCUAACUUCGUG
rnacentral:rRNA from 1 species